GGCCAGGGCUCUAUCACGCACUGGGCAGCAUACCGAUUUUAAAUUCAAAUGAGCACUGUUCUGAUGAAACAAACCAUUCACGAAAUGUUGGUGUUUAAUGAUGUUUUAAAAUAAUUCAUAAACCACAUAACUUUUCUGAGAAAAAACCCAUGAGAUUGAGCAGCAAAAAUAUAUGCAUUUCUAAUUCUAUAACUCCUAACUCUGUUCUUACCAUAUCCAUAAAAUUGUAUGGAUGCAGCACGUCACUAUUUCAAUCUUCAUACCCUGUUUUAU